CAGCAGCCGUGGGAAUACAGAGGGUGCGAGCGUUAAUCGGAUUUACUGGGCGUAAAGCGUGCGUAGGCGGCUUCUUAAGUCGGAUGUGAAAUCCCUGAGCUUAACUUAGGAAUUGCAUUCGAUACUGGGAAGCUAGAGUAUGGGAGAGGAUGGUAGAAUUCCAGGUGUAGCGGUGAAAUGCGUAGAGAUCUGGAGGAAUACCGAUGGCGAAGGCAGCCAUCUGGCCUAAUACUGACGCUGAGGUACGAAAGCAUGGGGAGCAAACAGGAUUAGAUACCCCUGUAGUCCCUGUCUCUUAUAA
rnacentral:rRNA from 1 species